rnacentral:tRNA from 1 species
GCCUUUGUGGUGUAACGGUAGCACAAUUGGCGCGUAUUCUACAGGUCCAGGUUCGUGUCCCGGCGAAAGCA